CAGCAGCCGCGGUAAGACGAACCGUGCAAACGUUACUCGGAAUCACUGGGCUUAAAGCACACGCAGGCGGCGACAUAAGUUAGAGGUGAAAUCCCAUCGGCCCAACCGUGGAACUGCCUCUAAUACUGUGUUGCUUGAGGGAGAACGGGGCAUUCGGAACUUCCGGUGGAGCGGUGAAAUGUGUUGAUAUCGGAAGGAACGCCGGUGGCGAAAGCGGAAUGCUGGGUCUCUUCUGACGCUGAGGUGCGAAAGCUAGGGUAGCGAACGGGAUUAGAUACCCCAGUAGUCCCUGUCUCUUAUA
rnacentral:rRNA from 1 species